GCCGGGAUGGCGGAAUUGGUAGACGCAGAGGACUUAAAAUCCUCCGGAGCUUAGCUCCUCGCGGGUUCAAGUCCCGCUCCCGGUA
rnacentral:tRNA from 1 species